rnacentral:rRNA from 1 species
AGUGAACGCUGGCGGUAGGCCUAACACAUGCAAGUCGAACGGCAGCACCGUAAGAGCUUGCUCUUACGGGUGGCGAGUGGCGGACGGGUGAGGAAUACAUCGGAAUCUACUUUUUCGUGGGGGAUAACGUAGGGAAACUUACGCUAAUACCGCAUACGACCUACGGGUGAAAGCAGGGGAUCUUCGGACCUUGCGCGAUUGAAUGAGCCGAUGUCGGAUUAGCUAGUUGGCGGGGUAAAGGCCCACCAGGGCGACGAUCCGUAGCUGGUCUGAGAGGAUGUUCAGCCACACUGGAACUGAGACACGGUCCAGACUCCUACGGGAGGCAGCAGUGGGGAAUAUUGGACAAUGGGCGCAAGCCUGAUCCAGCCAUACCGCGUGGGUGAAGAAGGCCUUCGGGUUGUAAAGCCCUUUUGUUGGGAAAGAAAAGCAGCAGGUUAAUACCCCGCUGUUCUGACGGUACCCAAAGAAUAAGCACCGGCUAACUUCGUG